CGGAGAGUUUGAUCCUGGCUCAGGAUGAACGCUGGCGGCGUGCCUAAUACAUGCAAGUCGAACGCUUUGUGGUUCAACUGAUUUGAAGAGCUUGCUCAGAUAUGACGAUGGACAUUGCAAAGAGUGGCGAACGGGUGAGUAACACGUGGGAAACCUACCUCUUAGCAGGGGAUAACAUUUGGAAACAGAUGCUAAUACCGUAUAACAAUAGCAACCGCAUGGUUGCUACUUAAAAGAUGGUUCUGCUAUCACUAAGAGAUGGUCCCGCGGUGCAUUAGUUAGUUGGUGAGGUAAUGGCUCACCAAGACGAUGAUGCAUAGCCGAGUUGAGAGACUGAUCGGCCACAAUGGGACUGAGACACGGCCCAUACUCCUACGGGAGGCAGCAGUAGGGAAUCUUCCACAAUGGGCGAAAGCCUGAUGGAGCAACGCCGCGUGUGUGAUGAAGGGUUUCGGCUCGUAAAACACUGUUGUAAGAGAAGAAUGACAUUGAGAGUAACUGUUCAAUGUGUGACGGUAUCUUACCAGAAAGGAACGGCUAAAUACGUGCCAGCAGCCGCGGUAAUACGUAUGUUCCAAGCGUUAUCCGGAUUUAUUGGGCGUAAAGCGAGCGCAGACGGUUAUUUAAGUCUGAAGUGAAAGCCCUCAGCUCAACUGAGGAAUUGCUUUGGAAACUGGAUGACUUGAGUGCAGUAGAGGAAAGUGGAACUCCAUGUGUAGCGGUGAAAUGCGUAAAUAUAUGGAAGAACACCAGUGGCGAAGGCGGCUUUCUGGACUGUAACUGACGUUGAGGCUCGAAAGUGUGGGUAGCAAACAGGAUUAUAUACCCUGGUAGUCCACACCGUAAACGAUGAGUGCUAGGU
rnacentral:rRNA from 1 species